GCUGGCGUAGCUCAGUUGGUAGAGCAGCUGACUUGUAAUCAGCAGGUCGGGGGUUCAAGUCCCUUCGCCAGCUCCU
rnacentral:tRNA from 4 species